AGAGUGAACGCUGGCGGUAGGCCUAACACAUGCAAGUCGAACGGCAGCACAGUGGUAGCAAUACCAUGGGUGGCGAGUGGCGGACGGGUGAGGAAUACAUCGGAAUCUACCUUUUCGUGGGGGAUAACGUAGGGAAACUUACGCUAAUACCGCAUACGCCCUUUGGGGGAAGGCCGGGGAUCGCAAGACCUGGCGCGGAUAGAUGAGCCGAUGUCGGAUUAGCUAGUUGGUGAGGUAAUGGCUCACCGAAGGCGACGAUCCGUAGCUGGUCUGAGAGGAUGAUCAGCCACACUGGAACUGAGACACGGUCCAGACCUCCGUACGGGAGGCGAGCCAGGUGGGAAUAGUUGGACAAGUGGGCACGAACGCCUAGGACUCCGA
rnacentral:rRNA from 1 species